rnacentral:rRNA from 2 species
UACGUAGGGACCAAGCGUUGUUCGGAUUUACUGGGCGUAAAGGGCGCGUAGGCGGCCCCACAAGUCACUUGUGAAAUCUCCGGGCUUAACUCGGAACGGCCAAGUGAAACUGUGGAGCUAGAGUGUGGAAGGGGCAAUCGGAAUUCUUGGUGUAGCGGUGAAAUGCGUAGAUAUCAAGAGGAACACCUGAGGUGAAGACGGGUUGCUGGGCCAACACUGACGCUGAGGCGCGAAAGCCAGGGGAGCAAACGGG